UGGCUUGGAGGUCGUAUGGAAGACUACUCGGCUUUUAACCGAGGGGUGCGGGUUCGAGUCCCGCCGGGCCAA
rnacentral:tRNA from 1 species